CCUACGGGUGGCAGCAGUGAGGAAUAUUGGUCAAUGGGCGCGAGCCUGAACCAGCCAAGUAGCGUGAAGGAUGACUGCCCUACGGGUUGUAAACUUCUUUUAUAAAGGAAUCAAGUGAGGCACGUGUGCCUUUUUGUAUGUACUUUAUGAAUAAGGAUCGGCUAACUCCGUGCCAGCAGCCGCGGUAAUCCGGAGGAUCCGAGCGUUAUCCGGAUUUAUUGGGUUUCAAGGGAGCGUAUAUGGGUUGUUACUGCAGUUGGGAAAGUUUGCGGCAUAACCGUAAAAUUGCAAUUGAUACUGGCAGCCUUGAGUACAGUUGAGGUAGGCGGAAUUCGUGGUGUAGCGGUGAAAUGCUUAGAUAUCACGAAGAACUCCGAUUGCGAAGGCAGCUUACUAAACUGCCACUGACAUUGAUGCUCGAAAGUGUGGGUAUCAAACAGGAUUAGAUACCCGAGUAGUC
rnacentral:rRNA from 1 species